rnacentral:rRNA from 1 species
AGCAGCCGCGGUAAUUCCAGCUCCAAUAGCGUAUAUUAAAGUUGUUGCAGUUAAAAAGCUCGUAGUUGAAUUUCGGGAUCAGUUGAUCGGUCGUGCCUCGGUACGUACUGGUCAAAUUGAUUCCUACCUUCUGACGAACCACGAUGUCAUUAAUUUGGUGUCGCGGGAAAUCAGGACUGUUACUUUGAAAAAAUUAGAGUGUUUAAAGCAGGCUCGCGCUUGAAUACAUUAGCAUGGAAUAAUGAAAUAGGACGUUUGAUUCUAUUUUGUUGGUUUCUAGGAUCGACGUAAUGAUUAAUAGGGAUAGUUGGGGGCAUUAGUAUUCAAUUGUCAGAGGUGAAAUUCUUGGAUUUAUUGAAGACUAACUACUGCGAAAGCAUUUGCCAAGGAUGUUUUCAUUAAUCAAGAACGAAAGUUAGGGGAUCGAAGACGAUCAGAUACCGUCGUAGUCUUAACCAUAAACUAUGCCGACUAGGGAUCGGAUGAUGUUAAUUUUUUAAUGUACUCAUUCGGCGCCUUA